UACGUAGGUGGCAAGCGUUGUCCGGAAUUAUUGGGCGUAAAGCGCGCGCAGGCGGCUUCUUAAGUCUGAUGUGAAAUCUCGGGGCUCAACCCCGAGCGGCCAUUGGAAACUGGGAAGCUUGAGUGCAGAAGAGGAGAGUGGAAUUCCACGUGUAGCGGUGAAAUGCGUAGAUAUGUGGAGGAACACCAGUGGCGAAGGCGACUCUCUGGGCCGGUACUGACACUGAGGAGCGAAAGCGUGGGUAGCAAACAGG
rnacentral:rRNA from 1 species